GUGGGGAAUCUUGCGCAAUGGGCGAAAGCCUGACGCAGCGACGCCGCGUGAGCGAUGAAGGCCUUCGGGUCGUAAAGCUCUGUGGGGAGGAAAGAAUAAGGGCGAGCUAAUAUCUCGCCUGAUGACGGUACCUCCUUAGCAAGCACCGGCUAACUCUGUGCCAGCAGCCGCGGUAAGACAGAGGGUGCAAACGUUGUUCGGAAUUACUGGGCGUAAAGCGCGUGUAGGCGGCUACGUAAGUCGGACGUGAAAGCCCGCAGCUCAACUGCGGAAGUGCGCUCGAAACUGUGUAGCUUGAGUUCUGGAGAGGAAGGCGGAAUACCUGGUGUAGAGGUGAAAUUCGUAGAUAUCAGGUAGAACACCAGUGGCGAAGGCGGCCUUCUGGACAGAUACUGACGCUGAGACGCGAAAGCGUGGGGAGCAAACAGGAUUAGAUACCCCUGUAGUCC
rnacentral:rRNA from 1 species